rnacentral:rRNA from 1 species
CCCUUAGAUGUUCUGGGCCGCACGCGCGCUACACUGAUGCAUUCAACGAGCACCCGCUGGGCCGAGAGGUCCGGCUAAUCUUUGAACGUGCAUCGUGCUGGGGAUAGAUGAUUGCAAUUAUUCAUCUUCAACGAGGAAUUCCUAGUAAACGCAAGUCAUCAGCUUGCAUUGAUUACGUCCCUGCCCUUUGUACACACCGCCCGUCGCUCCUACCGAUUGAGUGUUCCGGUGAAUAAUUCGGACUGCAGCAAUUCUCGGUUCCCGAGUUUGCAGCGGAAAGUUUAGUGAACCUUAACACUUAGAGGAAGGAGAAGUCGUAACA